GACAGAGGUGCCGAGCGUUAGGCGGAAUCACUGGGCUUAAAGCGUGUGUAGGCGGGUCGUUAAGUGUCUUGUGAAAUCCCACCGCUCAACGGUGGAACCGCUGGGCAUACUGGCGAUCUUGAGCAGUCCAGGGGCGAGCGGAACAAGCGGUGGAGCGGUGAAAUGCGUAGAUAUUCGGAAGAACACCAGUGGCGAAGGCGACUCACUGGCCCGUUACUGACGCUGAGGCGCGAAAGCGUGGGGAGCAAACAGG
rnacentral:rRNA from 1 species